ensembl:miRNA MIR33A microRNA 33a
GGUGCAUUGUAGUUGCAUUGCAUGUUGUGUAGCUCCGUGCAAUGUUCCCACAGUGCAUCCCAGAGGC